rnacentral:rRNA from 1 species
UACGUAGGGUGCAAGCGUUGUCCGGAAUUAUUGGGCGUAAAGAGCUCGUAGGCGGUCUGUUGCGUCGGCUGUGAAAACCCGGGGCUCAACUCCGGGCCUGCAGCCGAUACGGGCAGACUAGAGUUCGGCAGGGGAGACUGGAAUUCCUGGUGUAGCGGUGAAAUGCGUAGAUAUCAGGAGGAACACCGGUGGCGAAGGCGGCUAUCUGGACAGAAACUGACGCUGAGGCGCGAAAGCUAGGGGAGCAAACAGG